AUUACACACAGGAAGGUCACACCAUCCCUCACCAUUACAAGGGUGAAAAUGUUAUAAAGGUUGAGGUUAAGGAGGAAGAAGAAGAGAAAUAUGUGAGGAAUGAUCAGCAGUCUGUGGAGGAGGAUGGAAUAACGGGGACAUUUAUAGAGAAGGACACUUCUACAGAGAUCAGCACAGUAGAUGGACGGGAGAUGA